ensembl:antisense Gm16008 predicted gene 16008
GUGAUUGUGAUAGACCCGGGAAACCUGGUCUGACGCCCUUUUAAACUGCAGUUGGAGGAGGCUGACGAAGUAAAAAAGUUGACGUUGCCAGCUAACUAUGCGACCCCUUUUGAUGUCUGGUGCCAGCCCCCCAGAACCUCUUCUUUGAGAAACUUCUGCAGUUCCUGGCCAAGGAGGUACCUACUGCCAGCGACUACUACCAAGAACAAGCAGCUCCAAAACUGGAUGGUGGGCAGAGAGAUUUUCAUCUGCUCACCGUUAUCUCCUCGAUUUGACGAGCAGCUCCCUGUGUUUCCUCGUGGUUUGUUUCACAGGAUUCAGUGAACGUGUUCCAAGCAGCAGAGGGUCCUGGCAGUCCGACCCUGUGGGGAAUCCCCAGACUGACAUGGGGCCUCAGUAAAGGGAGUUUUUGAGAUAAGGUGGGGGUAUAGAGAAUGUACUGUGGGACAGCACCAGAAUGAAAAGGAAGUAAACCCAGGCA